rnacentral:rRNA from 1 species
GACGGAGGGGGCUAGCGUUGUUCGGAAUUACUGGGCGUAAAGCGCGCGCAGGCGGUCUUCCAAGUCAGUGGUGAAAGCCCGGAGCUCAACUCCGGAACUGCCAUUGAAACUGUGAGACUUGAGUAUGAGAGAGGUGAGUGGAAUUCCCAGUGUAGAGGUGAAAUUCGUAGAUAUUGGGAAGAACACCGGUGGCGAAGGCGGCUCACUGGCUCAUUACUGACGCUCAGGCGCGACAGCGUGGGGAUCAAACAGG